rnacentral:lncRNA from 1 species
UUUUAUUUUUUUAUUUUUUUUAUUUUUUGGCAGAGACAGUGUCGCCUUAUGUUGCCCAGGCUGAACACCUGUGUCUCUUAACCUAAGAGCUGUCUCCAGCACAGGAUGCAAGACAGCCCCAAAAAAGUGUUAGGGACUUAAAGCCACCAGAAGCUUUUCUUAACCAAUGGAAUACAGGAGUCAAUGGGAACAUCCUGUCCAGAGGAAAGGAUAUUUAAGGAGAAAGGAAGCAGCACAAGUUCGACUCAGCCAAGAAACAGAGGAAGGACAUCCCAAGCACGAAGUGGGGCACCAGUCUGUGUUCCAGCGAGAGAUAAAAGGGAGAGACACAACUGGCUCCAGCCCUUUUCCUGCCUCUUCCUGCUUUGAAUACUCACAUGAUACCUGGAGCUGCAGCAGCCAUCUUGUUUACCAAGAAGAAAAGCCAAGAUGAUCACAGAAUAGCCAGCACUGGUAUUGUUCCGCCAGCGACAGCAGAUACUUACCUCCAGAUUUUUGGGGAAAAAAAAUGGCAGGAGGCAUCCGUGAAGGCAAAGAUUCUGUCUGUUCUGCUGAUUUCGGUGGUCCCAGCACCCAGAAUAGUACUGCACGCAAAAGCUUAUCUGUUGAAUGAAUAAUGUGUGAACGAAUGCACUAGGUUAUGAAUCGGGCACCGGCAUUCAGGGAGCACGCCGGACUCUCAUCACAACACUAUAGCUUUAGUACUGAAAAUUCCUCCGCCGGGCGCGCUGGCUCAUACCUGUGAUCCCAGCACUUUAGGAGACCAAGGUGGGUGGAUCACCUGAGGUCAG